UACGUAGGGGGCUAGCGUUAUCCGGAAUUACUGGGCGUAAAGGGUGCGUAGGUGGUUUCUUAAGUCAGAGGUGAAAGGCUACGGCUCAACCGUAGUAAGCCUUUGAAACUGGGAAACUUGAGUGCAGGAGAGGAGAGUGGAAUUCCUAGUGUAGCGGUGAAACGCGUAGAUAUUAGGAGGAAUACCAGUGGUGAAGGCGGCUUUCUGGACUUAAACUGACGCUGAGGAACGAAAGCAUGGGGAGCAAACAGGAUUAGAUACCCGCGUAGUCCCUGAGCGGGCUGGCAAGG
rnacentral:rRNA from 1 species